rnacentral:misc_RNA from 1 species
GAUGAAGAACGUAGCGAAAUGCGAUACGUAGUGUGAAUUGCAGAAUUCAGUGAAUCAUCGAAUCUUUGAACGCACAUUGCACCUCUCGGUAUUCCGGGAGGUAUGCCUGUUCGAGCGUCAUUUGUACCCUCAAGCUCUGCUUGGUGUUGGGUGUUUGUUCCGCCUCUGUGUGUGAACUCUCCUCAAAACAAUUGGCAGCCGGCGUACUUGUUUCGGAGCGCAGCACAUUUUGCGAUCCAGAUCAACGUACAGCGGCAUCCAAGAAGCCUUAUUUAACGCUCUUGACCUCGGAUCAGGUAGGGAUACCCGCUGAACUUAAGCAUAUCAAUAAGCGGAGGA